CAUCCACUAAGACCUUCUUUACCCGAUAAUUGUGAAUGACGGCUUCAAUGACGAGCGCGUCAUCAUGGGGCAUCUGAAUACCCUGAGCAUCUUCUGAAGAGAAGGUGAUUGUCAUGGGAGAGUGGUCAACGAUCUGCAUGACCUCGGUGCUGCUGGUCUCUCCCUCCCGAUUUCUCUUCUUCCCUCGGCGGCCCAUCCGUCCUCCUGUUCCUCCUACAAUCAUGUUGAUGGUCCCACUGGAUCCAUCGUUCACUGGUCCCGCUC
rnacentral:lncRNA from 1 species